GAUGAACGCUGGCGGCGUGCCUAAUACAUACAAGUCGAGCGAACAGACGAGGAGCUUGCUCCUCUGACGUUAGCGGCGGACGGGUGAGUAACACGUGGAUAACCUACCUAUAAGACUGGGAUAACUUCGGGAAACCGGAGCUAAUACCGGAUAAUAUAUUGAACCGCAUGGUUCAAUAGUGAAAGACGGUUUUGCUGUCACUUAUAGAUGGAUCCGCGCCGCAUUAGCUAGUUGGUAAGGUAACGGCUUACCAAGGCGACGAUGCGUAGCCGACCUGAGAGGGUGAUCGGCCACACUGGAACUGAGACACGGUCCAGACUCCUACGGGAGGCAGCAGUAGGAAAUCUUCCGCAAUGGGCGAAAGCCUGACGGAGCAACGCCGCGUGAGUGAUGAAGGUCUUCGGAUCGUAAAACUCUGUUAUUAGGGAAGAACAAAUGUGUAAGUAACGAUGCACGUCUUGACGGUACCUAAUCAGAAAGCCACGGCUAACUACGU
rnacentral:rRNA from 1 species